rnacentral:rRNA from 1 species
UAUUCUGAGGAUUCGAUCCUGGUCCAGGAUGAACGCUGGCGGCGUGGAUAAGGCAUGCAAGUCAUACGGUCCCGCAUUUUGCGGGAUAGUGGCGAAUUGGUUAGUAACACGUAGAUAAUCUGCCUCGAGGACAGGCAUAGCUCACCGAAAGGUGAGAUAAUUCCUGAUGGUAAUGAGGGGGCGAAAGCCAUUCUCAUUUAAAGCCGCAAGGUACCUCGAGAUGAGUCUGCGUCCUAUCAGCUAGUUGGUAGGGUAACGGCCUACCAAGGCGAUGACGGGUAGGGGGGAUGAGAGUCUGUUCCCCAACAAGGGCACUGAGACAUGGGCCCUACUCCUACGGGAGGCAGCAGUCGAGAAUAUUCGGCAAUGGGGGAAACCCUGACCGAGCGACGCCGCGUGAGCGAAGAAGGCCUUCGGGCUGUAAAGCUCUUUUCUUUGGGAAGAAUCCCGAGAGCAAUCGAGGGAUGACGGUACCAGAGGAAUAAGGGGAUGCAAAUUCUGUGCCAGCAGCCGCGGUAAGACAGAAUCCCCAAGCGUUAUCCGGAUUUAUUGGGCGUAAAGCGUCUGUAGGCGCCUUG